AACGAACGCUGGCGGCAUGCCUAACACAUGCAAGUCGAACGAGACCUUCGGGUCUAGUGGCGCACGGGUGCGUAACGCGUGGGAACCUGCCCUUAGGUUCGGAAUAACUCCCCGAAAGGGGUGCUAAUACCGGAUAAUGUCUUCGGACCAAAGAUUUAUCGCCUUUGGAUGGGCCCGCGUUGGAUUCGCUAGUUGGUAGGGUAAAAGCCUACCAAGGCGACGAUCCAUAGCUGGUCUGAGAGGAUGAUCAGCCACACUGGGACUGAGACACGGCCCAGACUCCUACGGGAGGCAGCAGUGGGGAAUAUUGGACAAGGGGCGAAAGCCUGAUCCAGCAAUGCCGCGUGAGUGAGGAAGGCCUUAGGGUUGUAAAGCUCUUUUACCCGGGAUGAUAAUGACAGUACCGGGAGAAUAAGCUCCGGCUAACUCCGUG
rnacentral:rRNA from 1 species